rnacentral:lncRNA from 1 species
CUCCCCACGGUCUCCCUCUCCCUCUCUUUCCACGCUCUCCCUCUGAUGCCGAGCCGAAGCUGGACGCUGCCAUCUCGACUCACUGCAACCUCCCUGCCUGAUUCUCCUGCCUCAGCCUGCUGAGUGCCUGCGAUUGCAAGCGCGCACCGCCACGCCUGACUGGUUUUCGUAUUUUUUUGGUGGAGACGGGGUUUCGCUGUGUUGGCGGGGCUGGUCUCCAGCUCCUGACCACGAGUAAUCCGCCAGCCUCGGCCUCCCGAGGUGCCGGGAUUGCAAACGGAGUCUCGUUCACUCAGUGCUCAAUGUUGCCCGGGCUGGAGUGCAGUGGUGUGAUCUCGGCUAGCUACAACCUCCACCUCCCAGCCGCCUGCCUUGGCCUCCCAAAGUGCCCAGAUUGCAGCCUCUGCCCGGCCACCACCCUGUCUGGGAGGUGAGGGGCAUCUCUGCCUGGCCGCCCAUCGUCUGGGAUGUGAGGAGCCCCUCUGCCCGGCUGCCCAGUCUGGGAAGUGAGGAGCGCCUCUUCCCGGCCGCCAUCCCGUCUAGGAAGUGAGGAGCGUCUCUGCCCGGCCGCCCAUCGUCUGAGAUGUGGGGAGCGCCUCUGCUCCGCCGCCCCGUCUGGGAUGUGAGGAGCGCCUCUGCCCGGCCGGGACCCCGUCUGGGAGGUUAGGAGCGUCUCUGCCUGGCCGACCCGUCUGAGAAGUGAGGAGCCCCUCUGCCCGGCAGCCGCCCCGUCUGAGAAGUGAGGAGCCCCUCCACCCGGCAGCCGCCCCGUCUGAGAAGUGAGGAGCCCCUCCGCCCGGCAGCCGCCCCGUCUGAGAAGUGAGGAGCCCCUCCGCCCGGCAGCCACCCCGUCUGGGAAGUGAGGAGCGUCUCUGCCCGGCAGCCACCCCGUCCGGGAGGGAGGUGGGGGGUCAGCCCCCACCCGGCCAGCCGCCCCGUCCGGGAGGGAGGUGGGGGGGCAGCCCCCGCCCGGCCAGCAGCCCCAUCCGGGAGGGAGGUGGGGGGUCAGCCUCCACCCGGCCACCACCCCAUCCGGGAGGUGGGGGGCGCCUCUGCCCUGCCGCCCCUUCUGGGAAUUGAGGAGCCCCUCUGCCCGGCCACCAUCCUGUCUGGGAGGUGUACCCAACAGCUCAUUGAGAACGGGCCAUGAUGACGAUGGCGGUUUUGUGGAAUAGAAAAGGGGAAAAGGUGGGGAAAGGAUAGAGAAAUCAGAUUGUUGCUGUGUCUGUGUAGAAGGAAGUAGACAUGGGAGACUUCAUUUUGCUGUGUACUAAGAAAAAUUCUUCUGCCUUGGGAUGUUGUUGAUCUAUGACCUUACCCCCAACCCUGUGCUCUCUGAAACAUGUGCUGUGUCCACUCAGGGUUAAAUGGAUUAAGGGCGGUGCAAGAUGUGCUUUGUUGAACAGAUGCUUGAAGGCAGCAUGCUCGUUAAGAGUCAUCACCGCUCCCUAAUCUCAAGUACCCAGGGACACAAACACUGCGGAAGGCCGCAGGGUCCUCUCCCUAGGAAAACCAGAGACCUUUGUUCACUUGUUUAACUGCUGACCUUCCCUCCACUAUUGUCCUAUGACCCUGCCAAAUCCCCCUCUGCAAGAAACACCCAAAAAUGACCAAUAAAAUUAAAAUUAAAAAAAAUUAAAAAAAUAAAAAAUAUAUAGUCAACAGCCUCUUCAGGAGUAUCAAAAGUAUGUCUUUGAAAUACAUUUACCAGUAAGUCUCCAACGAGGAUAAGAACUUCACAUCCAAUCUAAGACAAUCAGGCGUUUAGAAAACUACACUAAGAAUCCCAUAAUCUACUUACUCACUGGAAGACCUGCUCAGAACAGAGAGAAAGCUCAAGUGAAAGCAAGU